UACGGAGGGUGCAAGCGUUAUCCGGAUUUACUGGGUUUAAAGGGUGCGUAGGUGGGUCGGUCAGCGUGCGGUGAAAGCUCGGGGCUCAACCCCGAGUCGGCCGUGCGAACUGCUGGGCUUGAGCACUGUAGAGGCAGGCGGAAUUCCGGGUGUAGCGGUGGAAUGCGUAGAGAUCCGGAAGAACACCGGUGGCGAAGGCGGCCUGCUGGGCAGUGGCUGACACUGAGGCACGAAAGCGUGGGGAGCAAACAGG
rnacentral:rRNA from 1 species